CAGCAGCCGCGGUAAUACAGAGGAUGCAAGCGUUAUCCGGAAUGAUUGGGCGUAGAGCGUCUGUAGGUUGCUUUUCAAGUCCGCCGUCAAAUCCCAGGGCUCAACCCUGGACAGGCGGUGGAAACUACCAAGCUGGAGUACGGUGGGGGCAGAGGGAAUUUCCGGUGGAGCAGUGAAAUGCGUUGAGAUUGGAAAGAACACCAACGGCGAAAGCACUCUGCUGGGCCGACACUGACACUGAGAGACGAAAGCUAGGGGAGCAAAUGGGAUUAGAUACCCCGGUAGUCCCUGUCUCUUAUAC
rnacentral:rRNA from 1 species